UUAUAUUGUUGUGUGUGUCUUGCUACUGUAUAAUGCUUUACGGUAUUAUGGAUGAGGGAGUCAGUUGGGACAGGGGGUUGUCAAUGUUCAUUUUUGGACCAGUAAAAAUAUAUAUCAUUGUAGUAGUUUGGGUCACUUAAGUCAAAUACGUAGAUAUCCUUUUCUCCAUUACUUUGUCUGGCACCUAAACACGAAGAGACUUCAAGUGACGAUAUUGUGCAGUAUUUAUGUAUCUGUCUUUGCUCAGGGUCUAAUUGGACGUUCACCUCAGAUUGAGGGGUCCCUGCUUCACUGGCAGACCCUAGUUGCCUAAUUGGUGUGCAUCACACUUGUGACGGUAGUCACCAUCAGCUGGAGUUUCAUAUGGACACUUUAUCUAGGAUCCUGGGCUACGCCUAUGUCUAAGUCACC